GCAGUUUUUCGAUCUGGAAAGCUGCCUUAUUAACCUGAAACCUGAAUGUCAUGGAGGGUCAUGAGCUCAUGGCAAAGAAAUGAAGAUCAAAGGUUUUGGCACCUCUAGACGCAACUAAGUACUCUGUGGACAUUUAAUUGACAAUAAAUAUUCUCUUCUUGCGUAGCAUGAUUAUCAUUUGAACCACAACAGUAGAUCAUAUGCUUAGUGAUGUGGUCAUCAUGUCUUAAUUUCAAAACUUUAUCGUUGCCUGAGGAUUGUGCAUCCAUCACGUCACAUGCACCUCGUCUUAUUCUUUAUCAUUUUCUCUCG
rnacentral:misc_RNA from 1 species